CCACCAUGUUACACUUGUAUUAUCUUCCUCUUUCUACAUUUCCCUUUUAUUAGGAGGAUGACAUCAUCAGCAGUUAGUCGCAGACUCAGAGCAGAGACAGACACAGACACAGAGCAGAGACAGACACAGACACAGACUCAGAGCAGAGACAUACACAGACACAGACUCAGAGCAGAGACAUACACAGACACAGACUCAGAGCAGAGACAGACACAGACACAGAGCAGAGACAGACACAGACACAGACUCAGAGCAGAGACAGACACAGACACAGACAGAGACAUACACAGACACAGAGUCAGAGACAGACACAGACACAGACACAGAGCAGAGACAGACACAGACACAGACUCAGAGCAGAGACAUACACAGACACAGACUCAGAGCAGAGACAUACACAGACACAGACUCAGAGCAGAGACAGAGACAGAUACAGACACAGACUCAGAGCAGAGACAGACACAGACAAAGGGGCAACGAUAGCACCAGAACCUGAGUACAGACAGAAAGCACAUUACGUUAUUGGAGAUGUCUGAGGACAUCUAUGCUGUGCCAGAUAUGACAAAGAAGGUCAAGUUUAACAGAGGUGAGAUGAAGGAGAGGAUUGUGGACAUCUACGUCAGUGCAGACACCCUGAGAGACUGUGAGACCAGCACCAAGAGAGAAGUGACAGUAGACACUGCUCCUAAUAAUGGACCAGGAGACCAGCACUCAGUACAUGUUCAGUGGUGGAAGAGACCCUCUGGAGUUGCUGCAGUGUGUCUGGGGCUGCUGUGUGUUCUCCUACUGGCUGGGAUCAUUGGCCAGUCGUUACAAUAAAGAUGUUUGUUUCUGUCGGCGCGAUGCGUGGAGAAACCAGCUGGCUGCACCGACUCCGAUAGCGUCUCUCCAGUGAGCCAUGUUUCCGUGAAGCAA
ensembl:lncRNA